UACAUAUAGUUUGAUCAUGGCUCAGAUUGAACGCUGGAGGCAUGCCUUACACAUGCAAGUCGAACGCCAGCACGGGUGCUUGCACCUGGUGGCGAGUGGCGAACGGGUGAGUAAUACAUCGGAACGUACCUUGUAGUGGGGGAUAGCUCGGGGAAAGCCGGAUUAAUACCGCAUACGCUCUAAGGAGGAAAGCGGGGGACCUUCGGGCCUCGCGCUACAAGAUCGGCCGAUGUCAGAUUAGCUAGUUGGUGAGGUAAAAGCUCACCAAGGCGACGAUCUGUAGCUGGUCUGAGAGGACGACCAGCCACACUGGGACUGAGACACGGCCCAGACUCCUACGGGAGGCAGCAGUGGGGAAUUUUGGACAAUGGGCGAAAGCCUGAUCCAGCAAUGCCGCGUGUGUGAAGAAGGCCUUCGGGUUGUAAAGCCCUUUUGUCCGGAAAGAAAUCCUCGCUUUAAUACCUUUUCGGAGACGGUACCCGAAGAAUAGCACGGCUGCUCCGGC
rnacentral:rRNA from 1 species